rnacentral:rRNA from 1 species
UACGUAGGGUGCGAGCGUUGUUCGGAAUUACUGGGCGUAAAGGGCGCGUAGGCGGCCUUCUAAGUCGGACGUGAAAUCCCUCGGCUCAACCGAGGAACUGCGUCCGAUACUGGUUGGCUUGAAUUCGGGAGAGGGAUGCGGAAUUCCAGGUGUAGCGGUGAAAUGCGUAGAUAUCAGGAGGAACACCGGUGGCGAAGGCGGUUCUCCUGGGAAUAUCCUGACGCUGGAGGAGCGAAAGUGUGGGGAGCGAACAGG